UGGGGAGCCCACAGGAAUCCAGCAGUGACAUAGAGCCGCCUUUGCGGGCUCCUGAGAUUGAUGUCACAUGUGGGAUGGAGGAGGAAGAGGCUGCCUUGGAGUCUGAUGAUGGAUCCACCACUUCUGGUCAUCUGGAUUCCGCCCCUGCCCAGUCACAGACCCCUCCCCGUGCACACACCCCUGACCAUGGCCACACCUCUGCACACACCCAGAGCCCUUCCCAUCACCAAACCCAUGACCAUGCCCCGACCACUGCCAGCCCUUCCCAUAUUUCAUAUCCUGUCCCUCCCAAAA